GUUUACUUCAGCAGCACAUCUACUAAAAUCGAAGCGAUACAAAGAAGAUUAGCAUGGCCCCUGCAUAAGGAUAACAUGUAAAUUUGUGAAGCAUUCCAUAUAUUU